GGUGGGCGUCGUUUUUUGUCCUGCUUGCUCCUCUUUUCCCCCCAAUUCGCUGCCUCCUCUUUCCCCGGUCUCCCCCAAUCCCCGCCUCCUCAAUCCGUUGCCUCUCCCCCAAGCAGCCGCCUCUCCCCUAGGCCGCCGCCCUCCCUCCUUCUCCCCCGUCUUCGGCCCCGCCCUCGCCAACUCCCGACGCUCCGCCGAGUGGAGAACCAGGAAGGAGGAGGGACGUGAAGUGGAGAAGAGGGGGUGCGAUGGAGAAGGAGCCAAGCCCGCAGGAGAGCACGGAGCGCCGGCGCGCCCUGCCAGCCGCGGUUGCUCGUGGAGCUCCGGCAUGUGCUGCACCAUGGAGGCGCUCGUGGAGGUGCUCUCACCUUCGGAAUCACCUCGAUCCGCGUCUGGAACCAUCCUGCUCGUCUCCAACUUUUCCAGCUCACCGAUGAGGACCUCGUCUCGGCCUCCUACCAGCCCCAUCCGUUGGAGCACGACGCUGCCUUCUGCCUCCCCAUGCGAGAUCCUUGUUCUGAUUCCUUCCUCUCUUGAUUAAUUUCAUUCUAUUUCAUUUCUAGGGUUUGAUGUCGAGGAGGUUCCUACACCAAUGGUGACAGCGGGCUCUGCUACAGGAAGCAGGGUCUAAUGAUGUACAAUUUUGCAGCUGCUGGUUUAAUUGUUCAAAUGGGAUCUUCCGUAGGGGCGUGUCCUCAAUUCCAUUACCUUUCUAGAUUAUUGUUUCGUGGUUGAUGCAAUACUCAGUUUGGUGGUUUCCUUUUGUUUUUGCUGCAGAGAGUGGAAGUUUUAGAAUGGUGCGGACAGGUUGAGAGCAAUAGAUGUUUUUUAAGACCUAGAUUGUUACUACCGAGAAUGGAAUUCAAGAAGAGAUACUUUUGGUCUUAUCUUACUACCUCUCGUAUCUGAUAGAUAACACAAAGUUAUCAGUUUAGUUGGAAAAAGAAAAAGUCCAGAUCUAUUGUGAGGAUAUGAUCGGCAUACUUACCCCCGGAUGAUGCCCCAUUUCUUCAGAAUUUGAGGCUGUUCUUGAUAUGCCAGGACACUUUGAUUUUUGGAGGACAAAGGUUAGACAAGGAUGAGAAUGGGAUACCAGAUUACAGCGAUGGAGGCUCGGACAUGGAUCUGCUCAUGCUUUCAGCGGGAAUACUGGAUGUUCUCGAAGCUUUGCCAUACACACGUGCUACUUUUGGCACUUGCGUGGGCUCCAGUUUGUGUCAAUGCAAUUUGCAUCUGUCAGCGGAUUUGUUAGAAUAAACCUUGCUUGUUAAGUUUCAGUUAGUUCAGAGAUUCAGUUAGUUCAGAUAGCUCAGGUGUUUGUUUCUUCAGUUUCGUCAGUUAGCGUUGCCGCGGGAAUAGCUCGUCUGGCAGCGAUCGAGUCCGAGUCCUGCGCCCUCUAAUCUGUUCGUGGGAUGGCACGAACGUUGUGGAGAGGAGUGGCGCACAGUCCGGAGGCCACGAGCCCCGUUUCUUUCAUUGUAAUCUCGCAUAAAAGGUGGAUCAGUAAAGCAGAAAACUGCGGCAAGUUUGCGCAGGCAAAA